AACUAGGACGACACAUUUGGCUACGCACCGAUGCAUAAUGGCGGCCGAAGCGUAACGAUGCGUAGCCUCGGGGACGCGUAUCCGUACAGAUGCGUUGACUAUGAAACGGCCCUAUAGCCAGGGGCGGACUGGCCAUCGGGAGCACGUGCUGACGUGCAAUAGGCUGUUAUGCAACUAUGAAUUAAUUGACGGUCUUAUGAAUCCACGAAUCAGGCGAUCGCGGAGUGAUAUGAGCCCACCACAUGACUAAACAUCAGCGAAGCACUGCCUUAUUGGCUAUAUACAGAGGCAGGCUUUAUCUUAGAAAAUCGCACAAAAAAUGGAGCGCAAAGGAGGAGCAUAGAGGGAAAGGAGAAAAGCCCUGGCGCAAGUUGCUGCAAAAUUCCAGCCAUUUUCGCCAGUAAGGGAGCAGACACAGCAGCAAUCAUGGUGGUCAUACAGUUACCACCCAAACUGUCUCUAAGCACAGAGGUCAUCAUGGAAUUGCGACCCAGCCAGAUCCACCAGGUGCAACUUGGAGCACCGUACCAUGGCUGAACCCAGCUCUUUGCUGCACAGGUGAAUGGUAAAGAUGCAGUGAGACCGUGUUGAAGCCUGGUUCAUGGGAGUCUACAUAAAAAU